GAUGAACGCUGGCGGCGUGCUUAACACAUGCAAGUCGAACGAUGAAGCCCAGCUUGCUGGGUGGAUUAGUGGCGAACGGGUGAGUAACACGUGAGUAACCUGCCCUUAACUCUGGGAUAAGCCUGGUAAACUGGGUCUAAUACCGGAUAGGAGCGUCCACCGCAUGGUGGGUGUUGGAAAGAUUUAUCGGUUUUGGAUGGACUCGCGGCCUGUCAGCUUGUUGGUGAGGUAAUGGCUCACCAAGGCGACGACGGGUAGCCGGCCUGAGAGGGUGACCGGCCACACUGGGACUGAGACACGGCCCAGACUCCUACGGGAGGAAGCAGUGGGGAAUAUUGCACAAUGGGCGCAAGCCUGAUGCAGCGACGCCGCGUGAGGGAUGACGGCCUUCGGGUUGUAAACCUCUUUCAGUAGGGAAGAAGCGAAAGUGACGGUACCUGCAGAAGAAGCACCGGCUAACUACGUG
rnacentral:rRNA from 1 species